AUUGAACGCUGGCGGCAGGCUUAACACAUGCAAGUCGAACGAGUGGCGGACGGGUGUGUAAUGUUUGGGAAUCUGGGUUAUGGGGGGGGAUAACGACGGGAAACUGUCGCUACUACCGCUUACCAUAGGCUGAGCCCAGGUGGGAUUGGGUAGUUGGUGGGGGAAUGGCUAACAGGGCAGACGAGCACUCGUGGGUCUGAGAGGUGGACCAGCCACCCCGGGACUGAGACACGGCCCUGACUCCUACGGGAGGCAGCAGUAGGGAAUAUUGCGCAAUGGGGGCAACCUGACGCAGCCACGCCGCUUGAAUGAAGAAGGCCUUCGGGUUGUAAAGUUCUUUCGGUGACGAAGCGUUAACCACAGAAGAAGCACCGGCUAACUCCGUGCCAGCAGCCGCGGUAAUAC
rnacentral:rRNA from 1 species